AGGAAAACGCCACAAAGACAGAAGCAGGCAAGAACACCACCACGUCUUCCGAGAGUGAAAAGGUCAUUCCUCCCAAGGAGGACAACCAAGAAGCAGGAGCAGAUAAAGUUGAAAAACCUAGUCCAGUCGAAGAACCACCAACAGAAGAACAUGCACCACUGGAGGAUGAACCAGGCACAGGCCAGCAAUCCAAGAGAUUUGAAAGAAGGGAAGAUAGCAAAACCAAUGAUGAAUUAUAACACUUCCCUAAGUCCCUGUGCAUCCACAUCUAUUUAUUUACAAUUAACUCCAUUGUUUUUAAAAUGGACUUGGUUAGUGGAACACGGCACAAACUGACAACAAACUGCAAUCGAGUUGCUCUAUCUCCCCGCCCCUCCGCCCCCUUUUUUUCUGUUGGAUAUCCUUCAUGCUGAUUUUGGUGUGUUGUCCUGUCUCUUUGCCUUCUUUGUUUUAAUAUGACUUUUGAACUCACUGGAAACUCUGCUGUGUUUUUCACGGCACUCUCCCUGAAUAGCCACUUCUGAUUUUUAGUGAACAUCUACCUGAAACUGUUCAGGAACCCACAUGGCUUGGGCUAUAUUUUGUGAAGAGCAGUGUACAUUCCUGCAACUUUUCUCCCUGCAAAUGGGAGCAACUAAUUCAAACCUUCCGCUUCAGCCUCAUUAUAGUCUUAUUCUGAUGCACAGACAAGGCCUCCUUAGUCUAGGCUCAUUGAUGCCAGUUUUAUGUCCAUGAGCCUUUUGCAACAGAAACCACUAAAACCAAAGCAAAGGAUGUAGAAAAAGUGGAUAAUACUUGUAAAACCAAAAUGCAUAAACAGAUACAUACUAAAUCCCCUCAAAUCGUAUCUCAGUACUUAGAUAAAGCAUAGCAAUUGUGGUCCUCAGUAAGGCCGCAUAGUGAGAAUAGCACCCACAUACCUGCUUUCCUUCGCCAGUGACUGACCUCAGCAAAACUCACCCAGUGCUAGAUGCCUUGAAGGAGCUCAUGUGACUAUGUUGGUGUUAAUGAGAGUGGUGGCUGCUCUAUCCAGCUGAAAUAAAAACAGCAGUCCUUUUCAAGUUUAUAUUGUUACACAUUUUCUUUACCUAGAUGAUUUGUUUCUUAAGCUUGCCGUUUCUGCCAUCCAAUAGAUUUCAUAGGAACACUGGGUGCUGUUCUAAACUUUGGCAUUUCCUCGUGCUAUUUAUGUUCUUUGGGGGUUUGGGACGCCAGCUUACAAAAUGUGCUGUGUUUAAGUGUUUGUGUGGUUUAUUUUCAAUUACCAUACCUUGCUGCUGAAUUUCUUGUAUCAACUAGCGAGUAGAGUGGGUGGGAUAAUUUUGACUAUAAGGUAUAAAUGUGCUGAUGCUUCAGUUUUCAGAAGCAUCAAUUAAUCCACCAGCUCAUAUGUUAAAGUACAUGUCCAAAGGCAUCAGGGUGGAAAAAAGAACAUAGUCCAACCCUCCUUCUUUCAUUUUCCCUAAAUUUUGCCUUAUCCCACCAAAGUAAUCCUUAAACUGUUCACCAAGGGGUAUCUUUUUGGUUUCGUCUUCAAUGCUGCUACCAGUAAUUCAUCAGCCCAGGGCAAAGACUGCAUCCUGAUCUCUAAAAUCUGUUUGGAAAAUAUGUAAAGAUUUUGGCAAGUAAAGUGUAAGACUUGCUGGCCUGACCCUGCAGCUUUAUCUCUUUUGUCCUCUGUAUUUAAGGACAUGUUAAAUGCUAUAAGUUCCCAGAGCAAGGUAUGUAGGAAAAAUUAUAAAUGGUGUGCUACACAUUGUUAAGUCCCCUUCAUUCCAGUUAGGUUUAUGUUUGCUCAAUGAUUGGAAAUUCUAGUUUGCUAACUUUUCCAUGCCAGUUUUUCAAAAUAUGAGUGUUAUGUGUAUUGACAGAUGUGUGAGCACACGAGGCUUUGUUUCUGUUGAAAUACACAUAAGAGUCCUUGGGUUUUAUAUGAGUGGAAUUCCAGAACUAAUUAGGGGGUAAAAAGUUUCUGCAUACCUCUGUUUUGGACAGAACGUGCAUUCUACUGUGAAUCCUGAUAAAAAAAUUGAAUCUGAAUGUAAAAUUCUUGAGUUCUUGUAAAAUGCUUUUCCUGGAUA